UACGGGGGGGGCUAGCGUUGUUCGGAAUUACUGGGCGUAAAGGGCGCGUAGGCGGUCUGCUAAGUUGGAUGUGAAAACUCUGGGCUUAACCCAGAGCCUGCAUUCAAUACUGACAGGCUAGAGUUCUGGAGGGGAUAGCGGAAUUCCUGGUGUAGCGGUGAAAUGCGUAGAUAUCAGGAGGAACACCGGUGGCGAAGGCGGCUAUCUGGACAGAGUCUGACGCUGAGGCGCGAAAGCGUGGGGAGCGAACAGG
rnacentral:rRNA from 1 species